GACGAACGCUGGCGGCGUGCUUAACACAUGCAAGUCGAACGGAAAGGCCCUGCUUUUGUGGGGUGCUCGAGUGGCGAACGGGUGAGUAACACGUGAGUAACCUGCCCUUGACUUUGGGAUAACUUCAGGAAACUGGGGCUAAUACCGGAUAGGAGCUCCUGCUGCAUGGUGGGGGUGGGAAAGUUUCGGCGGUUGGGGAUGGACCCGCGGAUUAUCAGCUUGUUGGUGGGGUAGAGGAUUACCAAGGCUUUGACGGGUAGCCGGCAUGAGAGGGUGACCGGGCACAAUGGGACUAAGGUACGGACCAGACGCGUACGUGAGGCAGCAGUGGGGAAUAUGACACAAUGGGCGGAAGCCUGAUGCAGAAACGCCGCGUGCGGGAUGACCGCCUUCGGGUUGUAAACCGCUUUCGCCUGUGACGAAGCGUGAGUGACGGUAAUGGGUAAAGAAGCACCGGCUAACUACGUG
rnacentral:rRNA from 1 species